GGUCUUGUGGUCUAGUGGUAUGAUUCUCGCUUAGGGUUCACCCUGAGUUCCAAUAUUAAAAUAUGCGAGAGGCCCCGCGUUCGAGUCGCGGCAAGACCC